UCCAUCUUGAAUAAAUCAGUCAGUGGC
rnacentral:sRNA from 1 species